GACGAACGCUGGCGGCGUGCUUAACACAUGCAAGUCGAACGGAAAGGCCCUGCUUUUGUGGGGUGCUCGAGUGGCGAACGGGUGAGUAACACGUGAGUAACCUGCCCUUGACUUUGGGAUAACUUCAGGAAACUGGGGCUAAUACCGGAUAGGAGCUCCUGCUGCAUGGUGGGGGUUGGAAAGUUUCGGCGGUUGGGGAUGGACUCGCGGCUUAUCAGCUUGUUGGUGGGGUAGUGGCUUACCAAGGCUUUGACGGGUAGCCGGCCUGAGAGGGUGACCGGCCACAUUGGGACUGAGACACGGCCCAGACUCCUACGGGGGGCAGCAGUGGGGAAUAUUGCACAAGGGGCGGAAGCCUGAUGCAGCAACGCCGCGUGCGGGAUGACGGCCUUCGGGUUGUAAACCGCUUUCGCCUGGGACGAAGCGUGAGUGACGGUAAUGGGUAAAGAAGCACCGGCUAACGACG
rnacentral:rRNA from 1 species